UGGCAGAGGACUCUUACAAGUAAAACAAGCAGUCAAAGAAGAACAUGCCCUGGCAGAAUAUGUAAAGCAAAGUGAAGAACCUGCUUUGAUUGAAGUUAAAAAUCAGAAACUCCUCAAAGCACAGCAGACAAAAAAACAGUACAAGAAAACCGCACUACAAACUAGAGCUGACAGCUGGCACAACAAAACAUUGCAUGGAAAGUUCCUUGACAAAAUUGAAGGAAAGGCUGACAAGGAGAAGACCUGGCUAUGGCUCACAAAUGGGACACUGAAGAAGGAGACAGAAGGCCUGAUCCUUGCAACCCAGGAGCAAGCCAUCAGAACAAAUGCAAUUAAAGCCAAGAUCGAAAAAUCAGCAGUUGACCCAAAAUGCAGACUGUGUAAGGAAGCUGACAAAACCAUUGAUGAUAUCCUCAGCUGCUGUAAAAAAAAUCGCACAGACAGACUACAAACAGAGGCACAACUAUGUGGCAUAUCUGUCUUGUUUGCUCUGUCAUACAAUAAAAUAAAGUUUAUUUGUAUCCCAUCCCCUCUCCCCAGGGGACUCGGGGCAGCUUACAACAUAAUAAUGCAAUACAAUAAGUGCAAUACAGAAAAUUAUAUAGAAUACGACAAACAAUUAAAAACACAUCCAAUUGAUAUAAAACAAAAUAUGACACAAGUAACAAAACAGCAAUAAAAUUAUGAAUAUUAGAAUAAAACAGUUUUUUCUAUGAGCUACAGGGGCUUGCUACUCCGAUAGAGGUAAAUCCAUAUAACAGAGAGAAUAACUAAUCACUGCCAAAAGCCUGUUUAAAUAACCAGGUCUUCAAGUUCCUCCUAAAUGCUGUAAGAGUGGGUGCUUGUCUGAUCUCCCCGGGGAGGAUGUUCUAGAGUUGGUGGGGGCACUAUUGAGAAGGACCUCUCCCUCAUCCCCCAUUGGCCUCACCUGACCCAAACAGGUUGUAAGGGGGGGGGGGCGGUCGCAUAAAUAGGCUGGACCUGAGCUGUACAGUGCUUUAUAGGUAAUAACCUGCACUUUGAAUUGGGCUCGGAAGCAAAUAGGCAACCAGUGAAGCUCCUUCAGCAGGGGGUCGUAUGAUCUCUAUAACCCACCCCCAUCAGUAGCCUGACUGCUGAUUUUUGUAUUAGUUGAAGCUUGAAAGCUGUCUUCAUCCCUAUGUAGAGUGUAAUCCAUACGAGAUGUAACUAAGGCAUGGAUCACCUUGACCAGAUCUGACUUUUCGAGGUACAGUAGCAGUUGGCACACAAGCUUUAAUUGUGCAUAGGCCCUCCCGGCCACCGCCAACACCUGAGCUUCAAGUAUCAGCACUGAGUCCAGGAGGACCCCCAAACUGUGGACCUAUGUUUUCAGGAGGAGUGUAACCCCAUCAGGCACAGGUUGCCACCCUAUACCCUGAUGGAGGACAUACCUUCCCCAAUAUUGAUGGAACAUAUAGCCUUGGAGAAAGGGACCUUAAAUCUCCACCAUUUAAAAAAAAAAACAGGGAGAGGAGAGGGUUUCUCUCUGUGUUUAAAUGGACCUCUCCUUGGUAGCCAGUAAUAAAACAAUCACAGUGCCACUUUCCAGGGGUAAUACAUACAAGCAAAGCAUUGCCCAUUUAUAGGGCAACUAGCUGUGCCCAGCCACGCAUUGCUGUGGCUAGGACUUAAUUUUUCUUUUCUUUUUGUUGUAUGAACAUAGAGGUGUGGAUGAGAGAUUGUGCUGUCAAUUUUCGAGGUUGUGGGGCGUUUAGUUUAGUUGUUUUGUCUGGUGCCGUGAUUCCAUUACCCUUUUAUAUAUAGAGAUGGAAUCAGCCCAGCCAACUAGCUUCUGUGUUUAUUUGGUGACCAAUUAUAAAGAAGUGUGGUGAGCUAUCAUAUCUUGCAUGGUUGUUGUUUUUUCACAGUAGGGACAGGUGUUUUUGUGAGAAUCUGGGUUGACCUCCCCUGGCAGCCUAAAUAAACACCCCAAUGAAGAGACUAUUUUUCCUUGAAGCCUGAUGGAAUCACCACGCACAGCGUUCUGCUUUAGUUUCCUUUUAAGAAUGCAUCACAUUGAGCACAAAGGUGAUUAGCUGAUGUUGCCACUGGUUUCCAUGGUUACCAGCUGGCAUUCAGCAGCCCAUUGUGACACAAGUACCGUCCUGUUUCCUGCUAAUGACAUAAAUAUUCACAACUCUGGAACUAUUGAUAAAAGCCUAUAUUUUUACCUAGAAUAAUUCUGUAGCUCUUGAUGAAUUUCUCAGCAGGGUGCCAGCUUCGUCUCCUUCAAGAAGCAAUGCCAUUUUAAGAUUUCAACAGGCGGACAAAAGGUCACUUGAAUGGAGGGAAUGGAAACCAAGGCUGCUCGAGUAAAGUUUCCCUGAUACCUUAGGCUUGCUAACUGGUUAAAAAAAUGUCUGCUUGCCAACUCUCAUCCCAUGACAUAGAUCCACUUCUGGAAGUGGUCCGUGGUGCAAACUGCCAUACACUGCCACGGCGGCAAUAUAGGAGGCUUCAACGGGGAAGCCAGGUGGUGGAUGCUUCCCCAUGAGUUGAGGUAAGGGAGAAGCUGGAUGAUGCAAGCUGGAUGGGCGACAGUUUCCUCACUCCACCCACGCCGGACACCGCUGGAUUCGCCACAAUCCAUGGCAAAUUGGCAGCUUAAUGUGUUGAGGGCCUUAGUUCCUUCCCUUCUCCAGUGCAUAUUAGGCAAUAAAGGUAGGCCAAUAAGCACCCAAAGUAGAAGAGGAGAAUUAGUUCGGUUCUGGUAAAAUUGCUAACUGUAGGAUUCUUGGAAGAAGCAGAAUUAUGAUACAAGCCUAGCACAAAGUUUGAAAACUUAUUUUUAAAAUGAAUUAAUUACAAUAAUCAUUCCCUGGUUCCCAUUUUAGACUUGUUUUUCAAAAAAAUAUUGUCUUGUUUCUGUUUUGAAGCAGAGAUAUUUAAAAUAGUUACUAUCUGGUUGCUUAAAACCAGUGCAAGAAACAGCAUACUCCAUCAUGUAACCUUCCUUUACAAUUGGGUCAGAUUUGUUAACUGACUAUAUAAGUAAUAUUUAAAGAUCCCUGACAAACACCCAGACUAAGACAAUAGCCAAACCUCUGAAUGACAGUUGAGCAUUUGAUAUAUACAAUAAUAUUUUUAAAGAGAAAUUCGGAAUCUCAUUAACCAGGAGCAAUUCCCCAUUGUCUUAUUGAUAGAAGACAGGAAAAUUUCAUCACAUAAGGGUGACUUAUCCCUCUUUAUCCAAAUGUCCCAUAAUCACCCACCAUUGUUCCAUUCCAAGUUGUUACUGGGACAUGACUAUCCAGCAACAACUUGAAAUCAAUAAAACUUUAUUAAAGUUCCCACCAUACAUGAUCUGCCAAUCUAAUUAAUCAGAAUUUCAGAAUGCAUCUACGUUAAACCAAUGAGAAACAAAUUGUAUAUACUGGACCAAUAAGGGCAAAGCACAUUGUUUUUGUGACUUGAUAAAGUAUGGGUGGCCUCCACCAUAAGGACAUGCCAUAUUUUGGAACCUUUGCCUGGCAUCUAAUCACUGAAAAAUAGAAACCUUUGGUCUAGCACCCUUCUCUUGGAAUAUCAGAGCUUCAACACUCCGGGACUGGACUCUCCCAUUCUUAGGAUAAAAAUGGAACCAAGUAAUGGUGCAAAAGAAGCCUCAAUUUUUAGUUGACAAGGACAUCACAUUGGUAUGUUCUUGAUAAAUGGUAAAAAAGAAACUAUUAAUUUCUAGUUCAGGCUUCAUAUUUCUGCCAGGAAACAGAAUUAGCCUUAGGUCUGUUACAAAUCAGCAGUGUGGAGUGCAACACAGAUCCAGUAAUUACGCCUUUGCUGCAUAGGGCCCAGCUAUCUUCCCUCAAGGAUACUCUUGGGACAUUACAUUUCUUUGCCACUCAGAUGGCAGUAGAUUGUUGCUGUGGGAAUAUCAUUAUUUUCCCAGCUAACAAUAAGAGGUUGUUCUUCUGUACUUCUGCUAGCAGAGCCCUGUUUUUCUGACUGCCUCAUGAAUGUGCCAGUGAAUCAAUUAGCCAGCAGAACUGCUCUGCGGUCUAAGAUUUGUCAACAGAUAAGCAACAACAAAAGGGAGAAAGAGUAGAGAUAAAGAGAAAUUAAUUUAUACAAGAUCCAAACUUCUCCAAACAAUAAGUGUCAAGACAAAGUUAGGCCAGGGUGAGGAUGAAUGUAAAUAAUUUUCAGUAUCUUUAGGCUGAAUAGGGUUUGGAUUUAGUGUUAUCUCCAUUGGUCAUCUUGGCCAAUUAAGAUUGUGCUCUUAAACAGCAAGCAAGGCCAAGCAAAUAUAAUGUGCUGACCUAUCAAUUGAAAUGAACACGUUUCAUUAAUUUCUGUCCAAAUCUCUUAUCCCAUUGAUAUAGUUCUAUCUAUUUCGAAGUGUUAAGAUACUCAAUGUAUUGCUAUAUCAUAGUGAUCAAACAUCCAAGCACCAAAUGUUUAGAUUUUUAACAAACAUCAUCCACCCUGCUCUAUGUUGUUGCAGAUACCAUUUCGAAACCUGAUCUAUGUGGAUUCUCAUUCUGUUGUAUCUGAAUUUUAUUUGAUGCAAACUGUUUUGAAAUAGCCAAGAUUAGCAAGCAUCACAUUCAAUUCUUUGCAUCUUCCCUCUGGAGUUUACAUUCAGGAAAUGAAAGUAGUGUGCAGAAGAAGAGCAAAAUGCGGGAGAUGUUUAAUGGUAUCCCUGAUGUUUAUUCCUUCUCAAAAUGACCUCUUUAAAGUUGUUUUUCUCACCACAAGAGAAAGGAUAUAAACACUUAAUUGUGCUGUUGCAUCUUUGACAUUAUUAGAAAUAUGGCGCAGUGUAGCCAUUUGGAAUGCCAAUGGUGAACCUUUGAGAAGGACUGUAGCUCAUUGGUUCAUAUGCAGGAAAUCCCAAGUAUAAUAUCAGGUAGAGUUAAAAAGGAAUCAUAUCUAAAAUCUCUGAGAGUCAUUGCUAGUCAGUGUCAAAAAUACAGAGCUAGAUGGAUUAAUGAUGUGAUUCAGUAUAAUGAAGUCUUGAGUUUCAGAUCAGUUCUCAGCCUUGGACUAGUCAAGCUACUUUUUCUUAACUUUUGAUCCCUACUUGCUAUAGGAGGGCAUCAAAUCCAUGAAUAUUAGUAAGUCCCACUGGUUAAAAUGAAACAUAUUCUCAGAUGAAUAUGCAUUAGCUCCCUUAUCUACCUAGUUCUUUAAAAAGAAUAGCCUUGAAAACGAAAGUAUAUUUUUGAUACUGGCAUCCUAGCAUUUUUGAUGAAAGAAAAUUGGUAUGAUAACACAAAGGAAACUGGAUAUAUCUAUAUUAAUAUUUUCUUGUACACAAACUGUGUGGAUGGGUCCUUAGUGAAAGGAAUGUAAAUGCAUGGAUUAUCUCCAUUGAGAAAGCCUUGCUUUCGAUGGAUAUGGUGUGAUAUGGAAGCUCUUAAUCUCCAUUGAAUCAAUUAUAUAAAAAUGUCACAAAUCUUUGGAUGUUGUAAUCAUGACAUGAUAAAUAUGCAUAGAUGAAGCAGCCAUUCAUGUUAGAGUUUUAUCUAAAGGAACUUGACUGCUACAUAAUGCUUCAUUCUUAUAGUAUCUAUAGCUUUAGUAUAUAAAAAAACCACCUCUCAAAAUAGUAAAAUAUGAUACUUGAAUCUGCGGGGUGUAUUAUUACAGCAACUUUUUGUUGCAGUAGGAUUUUCUCAAUGAAUACCAUUACAUUAUCUUCUUAUACAAAGAUCACACUGGGAGGUCUCUCAAAAGGGUAUGUGUGAAGAAGUGUAUAAUUAUAUUCUGUAUAUAGAUGAAAUGUGUAUUUAAUUUUGUUUAAACAGUCAGGUUUGGCUAAGUUUAAAAUGGUGAGUAUUAGAGUGAAUUGAUAUGUAUGAGGGAAGGUAGCCAUCUUAGAAUGCUAGAACAGGUUACCAUAGCAACAGGGGCGGAGCCAACCGCCGCUUGGAAAGGAAAAGGGGAAUGUUUUAAAACCCAGCAGUCUGUGAUUUCCAUCCACAGUGAAGGAACUGGUUCUCAGGUAGAGAAUCAGGGUGACUCAGAAGAAUUUGAGUCAGGCCUAAAAUAAAAGGAUUUAUUUUAGGAGUCUGUGAUUUUCCAGUCACAGUGGUGGAUCUGAUUCUUGUGUGGAGAAUCAGGCUGGCUUAAAUAGAAAGAUUUGAGUCAGAUUUAGGUUGGACCAGACUAGGCAAGUUAGGUGAUUUGUCUAGGGUCAUCUGUAGAGUCUGUGGAUUAGGGAACAUUAAUCCCAGGGGAUCCAGUAGGAUCAGGGUUUAGUGUAAUCCAGGGAAAGAAGUAUUUUGAAAGUUUAACCACCUCAUAACUGUUUGUAACCAUUAAGCGAAGUGCCUUUACUAAGUUAUCUGAAACCAUCAAGCUCUGUACCUGCAAUAAACUUGUUUUGAUUUUAUUCUAACUAAGCCUCUGUCAUACUCUCAUAAUAAGUUAAGUAACAUCAACACCUGAAGUGGAACAAAUAGAGAAAGCUUAUAAGAACCAGUACCAUCUGCCUGACAUCUCCAUUGGUGGCAGCGAAGAAGAAGAUAAACAAAUAAUCAAUUAACAUCAUCUCUUAUAAAACAUCUUUAUUAAGUGGUGGUAUCUGUGUGUGUGCGUGGGUGGGAUUCAAAGGGGAUUCCAUCCUCUGCCACAUAAGUUCCCUACAUAAAUUGGUGGCAGCGGUGGGAUCUGAAGGGAUUCCAUCCUCUGCCACAUCAGCUCUCCACAUAAAUUGGUGGCAGCGGUGGGAUCUGAAGGGAUUCCAUCCUCUGCCACAUCAGCUCUCCACAUAAAUUGGUGGCAGCGGUGGGAUCUGAAGGGAUUCCAUCCUCUGCCACAUCAGCUCUCCACAUUAAUUGGUGGCAGCGGUGGGAUUCAAAGAGGGAUUCCAUCCUCUGCCACAUCAAGUCUUGACAGUAUCUUAUCUAGAUUGUUAUCUGACAUUGUUUGCAUAUGUAAUUCAAAUUGUUCAGGAGAAAAACCAAGCUAUAACAAUAAACUGAAUAGCUCCCUACCUGGCUCAUUCAGAAUCACAUAUGGUUCGCUGGAGCUUUUAUGGAAUAAGACACUGUGGGCCUAUAUAUUUUUAUGGAAUGUACAAUCAGUAAAAUGAUAUAGGGAAGUAAUGCUGUAGUGUUUUCAUUUUUGUCAUUUAUUUUGUUUUUUAUGUUUUUGUUUCUGUCUUUCUUGCCUAAUUUAAUUCAUCUUACUUUUGAUUCAUUUGAAAUGUGGUGCUGUUUAUUAUUUGUUAGAACAGUGUAAUAAUAAUAAUUUAUUUGUUUGACCAGUCAUAUGACCAUUUCAAAGGUUAGAACAGUGUAAAAUGAAAUAAGCAAUUAAUUUUUAAACAAUUACAGUGAAAUGAAAUGAAAACUUACUCUGUUCUUCUGUGUGUGUGUGUGUGUACGUAUGUGUAUGUGUUUGUGUGUACACACACAGAGGGCAUGUGUUUUGUGUGCAUGUGCAUUUGCCAAGAGGAAUAUAAAAGGUAUCUCCAAAGAAAUUCAAAUUUAGUUGAGUAAUCAAAACAGCAUCUAUUUUUAAAAAAACAAGGAAAGAAUUCUGAAUGCUGAAAGUUUUAUGUAUUUUACCACUUAAAAAAAUAGUUAUUCCAUGUUUUACUAUUUAUAUAAUUGCUGCUUUUUAAAAAAUGUUUCCCAGAUUUCUGGUGAACGAUGUCUCUCUAUGUCUCUUUGCCUGGGUUCUAUGAAUUAGUCUCCAGUGUUAAUACUGUAUGUUUUAUGUUGAUUUUAACGAUUGUUUUUACUGUAAUGGAUGUUUUUAUUGGAUAACUGUUUUAUUGCUGUGUUUUGAUAUUUGAUUGUUUUAUCGGGCAAGGCCCCAUGUAAGCCGCCCCGAGUCCCUUCGGGGAGAUGGGGCGGGGUAUAAAAAUAAAGUUGUUGUUGUUGUUAUUA